rnacentral:rRNA from 1 species
AUUGAACGCUGGCGGCAGGCCUAACACAUGCAAGUCGAGCGGAGCGGAGGACGGGUGAGUAAUGCCUAGAAAUCUGCCUGGUAGUGGGGGAUAACGUCCGGAAACGGGCGCUAAUACCGCAUACUAUCCAGUGCGCCUAGGUCGGUUUAGCUAGUUGGUUGGGGAAAGGACUACCAAGGCGCCGAUCCGUCCCUGGUCUGAGAGGAUGAUCAGUCACACUGGAACUUAGACACGGUCCAGACUCCUACGGGAGGCAGCAGUGGGGAAGAUGGGACAAUGGGCGAAAGCCUGAUCCAGCCAUGCCGCGUGUGUGAAGAAGGUCUUCGGAUUGUAAAGCACUUUAAGUUGGGAGGCGUUACCAACAGAAUAAGCACCGGCUAACUUCGUGCCAGCAGCCGCGGUAAUAC